ACCACUCACAUAGAUAUAAAGCAACAAUAAGGGAACCAGUAUACACUCUACACUCCGUAAGAUCUGAUAAAUGCCAAUACUAAGCUAAUAUAUAUGCCUGACCUACCUAGCAUAUCAAGCAAGGAAGAAAACGAGCUUGAAACAAAAGUGAAAAAAAAAUAAGAAAAAAAAAGAUUUCAUAAAACAAACAUAAAAAGAAGUUAAAUAAGAAUACCGGAGCUCUAAAAAGUCAAAAAAAAAACACAAAUAUAUGAAUAUAUGCCACGCAAUUUUUCCUCGCCAGAUUCCGAACCGCAAUAAACAAAGGCGCAAUGGAUACACACACACACGCACACACACAACACACAUACAAGGGAUGAAUAAAAAGAAAAGAAGAAGAGGGGGAA
rnacentral:sRNA from 1 species